UCCAACAUUAUUCAGAUAGGACAUUUACAAUAGAUAGAAAAAAUAGAAUUUGCAAGGGAGUGAAGGGAGAGAGAAGAGGUCUGUUACAAAGAUGGUUCCAAAGGUACAAAUUUGCUUCUCCUCUGCUGAGACAAUAUCAACUAUGAAAGAUAUGUGAUGCCUUCUGAAGGUAGUGCUUUCGAUUGGUAUGCUUAGAAGAAAACCAAACUCAUCGAUCCAACAAAAAAAAUGAUCCAUAAAAAAAAAAAAAAACAGGAACUUACUGUAUUUGAUGAGCGCUGGAGUCGAAAGAAGACCAUCGAUUCAGAUGAUGGAAACAAGCAUGAGUAGGCGAUCACCAAAACCACGAGAGAUGCGAUGAUAAGGUUGGCGACACGGCCCGUGACGCCAUGGUCAGUGGGAAGGCUCAUGGUUUGGAAAUGGGAGCAGAGAAAGCUAUGACAAGACCAGUUAUUGAAGGUCCAUGAUGCUCUCUGCUUCCUCUUCUCAAAAAUGUUGUCUUAUGUAUGGAGUUGAUUGAAGCACCUUCCAGAGGUUCUUCGGACCUUCCCUUUGCUUAAGUAGUAACUCCCAUCUCCUCUCUUUAUAGACGUAACGAGGAGUUCGUCCAUAAUAGGAGGUCAAGUAAAACACGCUUCCUGGGCUUGGAGGAUAAACGGGCAAAAGAGCAGGUCAUCAGAAAAUGGGUAGCUGUUCCCAGUUUUC
rnacentral:lncRNA from 1 species